rnacentral:lncRNA from 1 species
GGAUGAUAUGAUUGAAUUCACCCUCUGAUCUCCAAUGGCCUAAGUGACUAUAAGUAUUUAAAAAUAAUUCUUGGGGCCUGACAAAGGUUUGGGAGGUAUGUGGUUAAAUUGCAGCUACUGUGAGGUUUUUGACACUAUGUUUAAAAAUAGUUAUAUUCUUGUAAAAAUAAAUGCACAUGGAAAUGAACAAUGUAUACUAAGUAGGAGGAAUAAAAUAUAUUAAAAGAAUCAGAGAAGUAGUUGUUAAAAAAACAGAAUGGAUACAUUAUGGCAAAAUUUGCCUUUAGUUUUCAGAGAGGUCAUUGACAUAGGAAAUAUAUUGGAUUCUUUAUCUUGUCAUUUCUGAUUAGAAAAAAAUUAAUCUUACAAGUAUGUUUGAAGAGAUCUGGUGUAGCAAUAAAUACCCCAAAUUCUAGUAAAUAUAAUACCACUUUUAUGUUAAUGUUAUCAUUACAUUUCAUGUACAGCUGCAGUUUCCACUAAAGUCCUCGUUAUACUUCAUGUAAAUUUCUACACAUUUAAAAAUAUACAGCAAUAUGUGAAUAUAUGAAAAUGUCUUUUACUGUAAGAUCAAUUUUCUCUUAUUUUACAAUGGGAGAUUUCAAUGGAGGAGAAACCCAAAUGUCAAAAUCCUGAGUUUUUUUAGCUAGGAUUUUGACUAUUCCAGUGCCUCUAGAAACAAAUUUACUAAGUCAUUUUUUUCAGAUUCAAAAAAAAGGUUUUGUUUCUCUCACCAUAAUGGUAUCUGUGUAAACUGACUUUGUGUUUUGUCAAAAUACUUUAUGAGUGUUGCCAAAACAUAACCUCCCCUAAUAAAGU